rnacentral:rRNA from 1 species
CUUUCUUUGCUGGCGACCGGCGCACGGGUGAGUAACACGUAUCUAACCUGCCCUUUACUCGGGGAUAGCCUUCGAAAGAAAGAUUAAUACCCGAUGGCAUAAUGAUUCCGCAUGGUUUCAUUAUUAAAGGAUUCCGGUAAAGGAUGGGGAUGCGUUCCAUUAGGUUGUUGGUGAGGUAACGGCCCACCAAGCCUUCGAUGGAUAGGGGUUCUGAGAGGAAGGUCCCCCACAUUGGAACUGAGACACGGUCCAA